CCUACGGGUGGCAGCAGUAGGGAAUCUUCCACAAUGGGCGAAAGCCUGAUGGAGCAACGCCGCGUGGGUGAAGAAGGUCUUCGGAUCGUAAAACCCUGUUGUUAGAGAAGAAAGUGCGUGAAAGUAACUGUUCACGUUUCGACGGUAUCUAACCAGACAGCCACGGCUAACUACGUGCCAGCAGCCGCGGUGAUACGUAGGUGGCAAGCGUUAUCCGGAUUUAUUGGGCGUAAAGGGAACGCAGGCGGUCUUUUAAGUCUGAUGUGAAAGCCUUCGGCUUAACCGGAGUAGUGCAUUGGAAACUGGGAGACUUGAGUGCAGAAGAGGAGAGUGGAACUCCAUGUGUAGCGGUGAAAUGCGUAGAUAUAUGGAAGAACACCAGUGGCGAAAGCGGCUUUCUGGUCUGUAACUGACGCUGAGGUUCGAAAGCGUGGGUAGCAAACAGGAUUAGAUACCCUUGUAGUC
rnacentral:rRNA from 1 species